GACGAACGUUGUCGGCGUGCUUAACACAUGCAAGUCGAACGGUAAGGCCCUUCGGGGUACACGAGUGGCGAACGGGUGAGUAACACGUGGGUGAUCUGCCCUGCACUUCGGGAUAAGACUGGGAAACUGGGUCUAAUACCGGAUAGGACUCCUGGCUUCAUGGUUGGGGGUGUAAAGCUUUUGCGGUGUGGGAUGGGCCCGCGGCCUAUCAGCUUGUUGGUGGGGUAAUGGCCUCCCAAGGCGACGCCGGAUAGCCGUCCGCUGAGGGUGACCGGUCACACUGGGACUGACAUACGGCCCAGACUCCUACGGGCGGCAGCAGUGGGGAAUAUUGCACAAUGGGCGCAAGCCUGAUGCAGCGACGCCGCGUGAGGGAUGACGGCCUUCGGGUUGUAAACCUCUUUCAGCUAUGACGAAGCGCAAGUGACGGUAGUAGCAGAAGAAGGACCGGCCAACUACGUGCCAGCAGCCGCGGUAA
rnacentral:rRNA from 1 species